GCAGUGGUGUUUCAGUGGUAGAAUUCUCACUUCCCAUGUGUGAGACCUGGGUUUGAAUUCUGAUCAUUGUA
rnacentral:tRNA from 1 species